CAAAAGGUAAAUAUCGGAUGUCUGUUCUUUGUCUCAAAGGAAUUUGACUAAUUUGAUUAGGAACAAUUUGAAUUCUCUUAAGUCCACAAUUUUUUGUCUUCCUAUCGGACACAUCAUAUAUUUCACUUUCUUUUGCUCUUUUUCAAAUAGGUUGAAUAGUUCUCUUAGAAACAGAAACUGAUGACUUUUUUUAGUAGUAACCGGUGAUAAAUGGUUGUGUGUUCUUCAUUGCUUAAAAUUUUAAUUUUUUUCUUUCACUAUUUAAUUCAUCUUCA
rnacentral:lncRNA from 1 species